GGGCCGGCGGUGCUAUAAUGCAGUCGAGCGAUGGAUUAAGAGCUUGCUCUUAUGAAGUUAGCGGCGGACGGGUGAGUAACACGUGGGUAACCUGCCCAUAAGACUGGGAUAACUCCGGGAAACCGGGGCUAAUACCGGAUAACAUUUUGAACUGCAUGGUUCGAAAUUGAAAGGCGGCUUCGGCUGUCACUUAUGGAUGGACCCGCGUCGCAUUAGCUAGUUGGUGAGGUAACGGCUCACCAAGGCAACGAUGCGUAGCCGACCUGAGAGGGUGAUCGGCCACACUGGGACUGAGACACGGCCCAGACUCCUACGGGAGGCAGCAGUAGGGAAUCUUCCGCAAUGGACGAAAGUCUGACGGAGCAACGCCGCGUGAGUGAUGAAGGCUUUCGGGUCGUAAAACUCUGUUGUUAGGGAAGAACAAGUGCUAGUUGAAUAAGCUGGCACCUUGACGGUACCUAACCAGAAAGCCACGGCUAACUACGUGCCAGCAGCCGCGGUAAUACUUAGGUGGCAAGCGUUAUCCGGAAUUAUUGGGCGUAAAGCGCGCGCAGGUGGUUUCUUAAUUUGAUGUUAAAGCCCACGGCUCAACCCCGCGGGGGGCAUUGGUAAAUGGGUUACUUGCUCGCAUA
rnacentral:rRNA from 2 species